CCUACGGGGGGCAGCAGUGAGGAAUAUUGGUCAAUGGGCGCGAGCCUGAACCAGCCAAGUCGCGUGAGUGAAGACGGUCUUAUGGAUUGUAAACUCCUUUUGCCGGGGAGCAAAAGACGCCACGCGUGGCGUUCCGAGAGUACCCGAAGAAAAAGCAUCGGCUAACUCCGUGCCAACAGCCGCGGUAAUACGGGGGAUGCGCGCGUUGUCCGGAUUUAUUGGGUUAAAGGGGUGGGCAGGCGGAAGAUCAAGUCAGCGGUAAAAUUGAGAGGCUCAACCUCUUCGAGCCGUUGAAACUGGUUUUCUUGAGUGAGCGAGAGGUAUGCGGAAUGCGUGGUGUAGCGGUGAAAUGCAUAGAUAUCACGCAGAACUCCGAUUGCGAAGGCAGCAUACCGGCGCUCAACUGACGCUCAUGCACGAAAGUGUGGGUAUCGAACAGGAUUAGAUACCCGUGUAGUC
rnacentral:rRNA from 1 species